AUACGGAGGAUCCGAGCGUUAUCCGGAUUUAUUGGGUUUAAAGGGUGCGCAGGCGGCCAUUUAAGUCAGCGGUUAAAUCGUGGGGCUCAACCCCAUUCUGCCGUUGAUACUGGGGGGCUUGAUUGCGGUCGAGGUUGGCGGAAUUCGUUGUGUAGCGGUGAAAUGCAUAGAUAUGACGAAGAACACCGAUUGCGUAGGCAGCUGACCAGAUCGCAAAUGACGCUCAUGCACGAAAGUGCGGGGAUCGAACAGGAUUAGAUACCCUGGUAGUCCGCACAGUAAACGAUGAAUACUUGUUUUCGGCGAUAUAAUGUCGGAGGCAAGGCGAAAGCGAUAAGUAUUCCACCUGGGGAGUACGCCGGCAACGGUGAAACUCAAAUGAAUUGGCGGGG
rnacentral:rRNA from 1 species